rnacentral:rRNA from 1 species
CCUACGGGGGGCAGCAGUGGGGAAUAUUGGACAAUGGGGGCAACCCUGAUCCAGCCAUGCCGCGUGUGUGAAGAAGGCCCUCGGGUUGUAAAGCACUUUCAGUGAGGAAGAACGCCUGGUGGUUAAUACCCAUCAGGAAAGACAUCACUCACAGAAGAAGCACCGGCUAACUCCGUGCCAGCAGCCGCGGUAAUACGGAGGGUGCGAGCGUUAAUCGGAAUUACUGGGCGUAAAGCGCGCGUAGGUGGCUUGAUAAGCCGGUUGUGAAAGCCCCGGGCUCAACCUGGGAACGGCAUCCGGAACUGUCAAGCUAGAGUGCAGGAGAGGAAGGUAGAUUUCCCGGUGUAGCGGGGAAAUGCGUAGAGAUCGGGAGGAAUACCAGUGGCGAAGGCGGCCUUCUGGACUGACACUGACCCUGAGGUGCGAAAGCGUGGGUAGCAAACAGGAUUAGAUACCCCGGUAGUC